UAGCUAGCCACAUAGUCUCUGUUGAGUGUAAUUUUUGUUCUUGGUCAAAUCAUUACAAAUGUUAGUUGAGUGACUUGAUAAUUGUAAUUCUGUAGCCAACUAAUGUUACCUAGCGGCUGUUCACGUGACAACUACAAUCUCUAGUUAGCAUUUUAAGCUAGCUAGCUAAGUAACUACUUGAUAUUGUAUUGUGUGUCUAGCUAGCUAACCAUUUAUACACAGGCUACUUACUUAUAGGCUACUAGCUAGUCAUGUGAGGAUGUGUUUGCUUGAUAGCUACUUGAAUAGUGCGUGCUCUGUGUAUGGACCGCAGCACUGCAGUGUGUGUGUGUUUGAAGACUUUCUGUGUCCAAGGGGGGCAAGAGUUGGAAGAGUUCAAGGUGACUGGAUAGGGCCCGUCUCGGGGAGCAAACUGCUGCACGCACACAGCCAUUGAGCUAUCGACAACACACCCUGUUGUACAGCCAUCACUGGUAAGACGGGGAGGGAGAUGCGAGACACAGGUGGAGAAGGAAGUUUGAGAUCGGGUCUGAGACUUGGACUUUAAGUCUUUUUUACUGUUUCUGUUUCUCUACCUGCCUAUGAAUCUGGGGACACUGGAGCAGAACCACCAUGAGUAUGUCAAGCACCUGGAUUCCUGCGCUAUGGUGGCCGACUUCUUGCAGUUCCUGUUACUACGAAAACUGAGUAACGUCAUCAUGCUCACUCGCAAGGACUUCUCCACUUUGCCUCCCGCCGACGCCCGGGGGGGGGGGGCACCUUCAACACCACCUCUCCUUGAGGACACACACUGUGGCUGCGUCUCAAUAGUCUUAGCUUCCUCUCACAGGCACUUUAGUGAGGAUAGUACUAUUCUGGUUAGCAGUUGUCACUAGUAUGUACAGUGGCCCUCGAUCUAGAGUAUUGAUUAAAUAUUAAUAAUUUUAUGGAUUUUUUUUGUGUGAUACUGUUUUUGUUUGUAUAAACUGAAACAAAUUCCAGUCAACUCUGUUGAUAUGGCAAUUGCAAAAGCUACUGUUAUGUCAGUUGGUGUGAAUCAAUGUCUUGUAUGUUUCCUAUGCUUACUUUCUGUAAAACACUUUAUCUUUGAGUGAUAAUUCCAGUAACUGCUACUUUGCUUUGGCUCUGUGAUCAACUCAAGUUAUAAAUUAAAUGAUGCUCA